AACUUGCCUAACCUGAAGCUAUGGAUCACUGGAUCACUUCUAAACCAAGGUUUUGAAUUCGUCAAAUCAUUCACUUGAUUUUGUAAGAGUGUAAUGCGAUGUUUCAAUCUGAUGUCACAUCUUGCUUGUCUUCCUUUCUGUAUGUUUUAUAACCACCAGGGGUCUAAAGUUAAUUUUAUGGAUGUUGUUUAUGCUUUGAAGAGGCAAGAUCGCACUCUCUAUGGCGUCGGACGAGGCUGCUUCUUGUGCUUGACGCUGCUCCUAGCUGUCAAAGAGAAGAUCAUAGUUUAUUCUUCUGCAAAAGCCUUUAGAGGAAGCAAAAAAGGACAGAAGCAUUGCAGAAUGACGAUGCCUGUGUUGGAUCAUUUCAGAGCGUCAUAAGUGAUUGAUAGCUCGUGGUGGUUUAGUAAUGUUGAUGUCACUGGGAUCACUUGUGGGAAAAGUUUUCAGGGGAAAACUGAUUUUACAACUAUGAUCUUUUCUUUGUCUCAGAUAAAACAUAAGUGUUAGAAUAGUCAAGUCACAAUGUGCUUUAGUGCCUAGAGCUAAUGGAUGUGUUGUUGAUGUAAUUUUCUUGGAUCACAAGGUUUCAAUGCAUAGAACGAAAAAAAUUAAGAAACCCAAAA